AUUGAACGCUGGCGGCAUGCCUUACACAUGCAAGUCGAACGGUAACAGGUCUUCGGAUGCUGACGAGUGGCGAACGGGUGAGUAAUACAUCGGAACGUGCCUAGUAGUGGGGGACAACUACUCGAAAGAGUGGCUAAUACCACAUGAGAGCUACGGAUGAAAGCAGGGGAGCGCAAGACCUUGUGCUACUAGAGCGGCCGAUAGCAGAUUAGGUAGUUGGUGGGAUAAAAGCUUACCAAGCCGACGAUCUGUAGCUGGUCUGAGAGGACGAUCAGCCACACUGGGACUGAGACACGGCCCAGACUCCUACGGGAGGCAGCAGUGGGGAAUUUUGGACAAUGGGCGAAAGCCUGAUCCAGCAAUGCCGCGUGCAGGAUGAAGGCCUUCGGGUUGUAAACUGCUUUUGUACGGAACGAAAAGCCCUGGGUUAAUACCCUGGGGUCAUGACGGUACCGUAAGAAUAAGCACCGGCUAACUACGUGCCAGCAGCCGCCGUAA
rnacentral:rRNA from 1 species